ACCUUAGCAACGCGUGGACGGGGUCCUCUAGUAUAUGUAUAUAUCUCCAUAUCUAUCACAAUUAGAUUGAUGUGUUACAAACCGUUAGGUGAACAAAACUAUCUGUAACAACAUAUUGGGAAUAACUGCUUCCAAACAUAUUCUACACAGGCACAGUUUUGGAAACGAUAAUACCACAAAAAAGUUGUUGUUCGACAGUACUCCCACUGAUUUCUUUGCGGAUAGGGAUUGUACGAUAUGAUAGGUAGAAAAGUAAUAAGGUGAAGUACCUUAAUGAAACUCAGAGAUCAUCUGUUUCUCCGUUCCCACGACUGUCGGAUUUAUGUAACCGGAACGGACCCGGAUUCUUAGCCAAGGAUUGUCAACUCGGCAGAGUUCUGCUGCUACAAUAAUAACAACAACAACAUCUGUUUCUGUUAAUUAUAUGUGGUAAUGCUAACAGUAGCUAGACCUAUCUCUCAUAUACCAUAAUCUUUCAGUUGGCCGUACGCCUUAUACCGUAUUUAUCGGUCUAUAUGUAAGAUAUAUUUGUACACUGAAAGUAUAAUAUAAUAUUAGAUAUACUUUAGUUUAAUGCCGAAAAUAUUAUAUUGUACCACAUGCAAUAAUUUCCGUUAUUCUAACAAACCUUACUACAUAUAUUAUUAGUUUAGCGCUGAACAUGAAUGUAGUUGGUCUAGACCUUGGUCUAAAUCUCAUAGCCCUAAUAUCAUCAAUUCCGAUCUUCUGGUUGACGUUUUGCACAUCAACUCAACAUAUUAAAUUUAGCCUUUUGUUAAAGUUUAUGUCAGAAAUAAUUCAUUUGAGGAUGAUUAAAUAUAAGAUUCGUUGACGGAAAGUAAAAUAUAGUUAUACAACUAACUGAGUCUGUGACAUGUAAUAUAACUUAAUAAAAUACCAAAUUCUAUUGUAA